rnacentral:misc_RNA from 1 species
GGCAAUCAGGUCCCCUCCUUCACCCCUUUCUCUUACUCUUUUAAACUUCCUGUAGACUCCUUCCGUCUCUAACCCGCCUACUGAUUUUUCUUUUGUUUCUGUGUUUAUUGGGUAUAGUUUUUUUCUUUAGCAAUGGAGGUGGGUAGUGUCAGUUCUGUGGAGAGGACCUUGUGGGCAUGCUCUGUUAUGGAAGCUAUGGUGGUAGAGACUGCACUUGCAGCUUGGAAGUCUCUUGCUUAUCUGUUCUUUGUGGUAUUACAUCUUCCAUUAACCCUUUUUCUUUAUCUAUUAGUCUCUACUUGUCAAUAACUAGUGUUUCUGAAGUCGCUGGCUGCUCUUAUUGUUGCAUUUCUUCUUCUUGCUGUUUAUUGAUUUGUGGCUGUUGUUCCUGAUAUUUGUUGUUUCUUCUUUGUUCUGCUUUGUGGGUUAAUUGUAUUUUGAUGGUUCUUGCUCUGGAUUUUAUGAAUUAGGGCUUUCUUUCUUAACUAGCGUGAACAUGAGCAUGACUCUGUGUAGGUGCGUUAAGAUUUCAUGGUACUGUCUUUUCUCUUUGACAAAUUAUUCCCCUUUGAGGGCAUCUUUUUCCUGGGUGGUUAUUCCACUGGAUUUUUCCAACUGGGGGCUUUGUUGCUUAACUAAUGUGGGCUCAGCGUGACUGUGUGUGGGUGUGUUGAAAUUUCACGGUACUGUCUUGUCUUCUUUGACAAACAUACCCAUCAAUUUAGCAGUUAUGAUUUUUUUUUUAUGUAGAAAGUACCCCUUCUGUUAUCUGUGGCUUUAUGAAGUUCUGUUUUUGAGACGAGUAUUAUUUGCUCUGGCUAGUCAGGUAGAAGUUAUGGACUGACAAUAGCCUGUACAUUAUUUUAAUUAUUGUUUAAUUGUUUACUUAUUCCUUUUCUGGCUUUUAUGGGAUUGUCUCAGUUGUUUGUGGUCUGGAAUAGUACUUGCCCAAAUUAGGUGUUAUGUUAGUGUGGUUUCUUUUUGGUCCAUAGUUAAUGGCUUUCUUAAAUGGAAUCUCAUUAUUAUGAUUGCAUUUUACUGUUAAGAAAUAAGACUUGUUCCUGCAACAGAACAACACCAUCUUAAAGUUUUUAGUUGGUAGAUGCUUGAGGGAUCAUACUGUUUUAGUGUUUUUCGUAUUUAAUUAGCAUAGAAUAGCUCAGUUGUUAUACACGACUUUUAAUUACUGGCUUUGAAGCUGUUGUGGACAUUUCUUUACCCUAUUUGGUACUUGCUUUAUUUUCUUUAUUAUUAUUAUUAUCAUUGUAUUGUUUUAGUGGGUGCAUUGUUUUCAUUUGAAUUACCAGUAGACAGAACAGAAAAGCUUCAAUUUCAGAAAUUUAGAGAACAGAAAUAAGGGGCUGACAGAAAUCUACCUUAUAACCAAAAUAUAGUCUUAGGGAUGAGGAAGACAAUUUCUUUUAGAGCCUAGCUUAAGUUGGUAUAGAUGUGAUAUC